rnacentral:tRNA from 1 species
GCCGCGUAGCUAAGUUGUUAGGGUAUUCGCCUCACGAGUGUAAGGUCGUGAGUUCGAUUCCCACCGGCA